UACGUAGGGUGCAAGCGUUGUCCGGAAUUAUUGGGCGUAAAGAGCUCGUAGGCGGUUUGUCGCGUCUGCUGUGAAAACUCGGGGCUCAACUCCGAGCUUGCAGUGGGUACGGGCAGACUAGAGUGCGGUAGGGGAGACUGGAAUUCCUGGUGUAGCGGUGGAAUGCACAGAUAUCAGGAGGAACACCGGUGGCGAAGGCGGGUCUCUGGGCCGUAACUGACGCUGAGGAGCGAAAGCAUGGGGAGCGAACAGG
rnacentral:rRNA from 1 species